rnacentral:hammerhead_ribozyme from 1 species
GCACUGCUGUGGAGUCCCAAACAGGACGAAACAGCUGUCCCGGUGC